AUACAGAGGGUGCGAGCGUUAAUCGGAAUUACUGGGCGUAAAGCGCGCGUAGGCGGCUUGGUCAGUCGGAUGUGAAAGCCCUGGGCUCAACCUGGGAAUUGCAUUCGAUACUGCCAAGCUAGGGUAUGGGAGAGGGAAGUGGAAUUUCCGGUGUAGCGGUGAAAUGCGUAGAUAUCGGAAAGAACACCAGUGGCGAAGGCGACUUCCUGGCCCAAUACUGACGCUGAGGUGCGAAAGCGUGGGGAGCGAACAGGAUUAGAAACCCUUGUAGUCC
rnacentral:rRNA from 1 species